rnacentral:rRNA from 1 species
UACGUAGGGGGCAAGCGUUAUCCGGAUUUACUGGGUGUAAAGGGAGCGUAAACGGCAGCGCAAGUCUGGAGUGAAAUGCCGGGGCCCAACCCCGGAACUGCUUUGGAAACUGUGCGGCUCGAGUGCGGGAGAGGUAGGCGGAAUUCCUAGUGUAGCGGUGAAAUGCGUAGAUAUUAGGAAGAACACCAGUGGCGAAGGCGGAUUACUGGACGACAACUGACGGUGAGGCGCGAAAGCGUGGGGAGCAAACAGG